UUAAAUUGAAGAGUUUGAUCAUGGCUCAGAUUGAACGCUGGCGGCAGGCCUAACACAUGCAAGUCGAACGGUAACAGGAAACAGCUUGCUGUUUCGCUGACGAGUGGCGGACGGGUGAGUAAUGUCUGGGAAACUGCCUGAUGGAGGGGGAUAACUACUGGAAACGGUAGCUAAUACCGCAUAACGUCGCAAGACCAAAGAGGGGGACCUUCGGGCCUCUUGCCAUCGGAUGUGCCCAGAUGGGAUUAGCUAGUAGGUGGGGUAACGGCUCACCUAGGCGACGAUCCCUAGCUGGUCUGAGAGGAUGACCAGCCACACUGGAACUGAGACACGGUCCAGACUCCUACGGGAGGCAGCAGUGGGGAAUAUUGCACAAUGGGCGCAAGCCUGAUGCAGCCAUGCCGCGUGUAUGAAGAAGGCCUUCGGGUUGUAAAGUACUUUCAGCGGGGAGGAAGGGAGUAAAGUUAAUACCUUUGCUCAUUGACGUUACCCGCAGAAGAAGCACCGGCUAACUCCGUGCCAGCAGCCGCGGUAAUACGGAGGGUGCAAGCGUUAAUCGGAAUUACUGGGCGUAAAGCGCACGCAGGCGGUUUGUUAAGUCAGAUGUGAAAUCCCCGGGCUCAACCUGGGAACUGCAUCUGAUACUGGCAAGCUUGAGUCUCGUAGAGGGGGGUAGAAUUCCAGGUGUAGCGGUGAAAUGCGUAGAGAUCUGGAGGAAUACCGGUGGCGAAGGCGGCCCCCUGGACGAAGACUGACGCUCAGGUGCGAAAGCGUGGGGAGCAAACAGGAUUAGAUACCCUGGUAGUCCACGCCGUAAACGAUGUCGACUUGGAGGUUGUGCCCUUGAGGCGUAGCUUCCGGAGCUAACGCGUUAAGUCGACCGCCUGGGGAGUACGGCCGCAAGGUUAAAACUCAAAUGAAUUGACGGGGGCCCGCACAAGCGGUGGAGCAUGUGGUUUAAUUCGAUGCAACGCGAAGAACCUUACCUGGUCUUGACAUCCACGGAAGUUUUCAGAGAUGAGAAUGUGCCUUCGGGAACCGUGAGACAGGUGCUGCAUGGCUGUCGUCAGCUCGUGUUGUGAAAUGUUGGGUUAAGUCCCGCAACGAGCGCAACCCUUAUCCUUUGUUGCCAGCGGUCCGGCCGGGAACUCAAAGGAGACUGCCAGUGAUAAACUGGAGGAAGGUGGGGAUGACGUCAAGUCAUCAUGGCCCUUACGACCAGGGCUACACACGUGCUACAAUGGCGCAUACAAAGAGAAGCGACCUCGCGAGAGCAAGCGGACCUCAUAAAGUGCGUCGUAGUCCGGAUUGGAGUCUGCAACUCGACUCCAUGAAGUCGGAAUCGCUAGUAAUCGUGGAUCAGAAUGCCACGGUGAAUACGUUCCCGGGCCUUGUACACACCGCCCGUCACACCAUGGGAGUGGGUUGCAAAAGAAGUAGGUAGCUUAACCUUCGGGAGGGCGCUUACCACUUUGUGAUUCAUGACUGGGGUGAAGUCGUAACAAGGUAACCGUAGGGGAACCUGCGGUUGGAUCACCUCCUUACCUUAAAGAAGC
rnacentral:rRNA from 1 species